UACAGAGGUCUCGAGCGUUAGUCGGAGUCACUGGGCUUAAAGCGUACGUAGGCGGAUAUGCAGGCGUCGUGUGAAAUCCCUCGGCUCAACCGGGGAACUGCACGGCGAACCGCAUGUCUUGAGAUCGGUAGGGGCUGUCGGAACGAUAGGUGGAGUGGUGAAAUGCGUUGAUAUCUAUCGGAACGCCGAAGGUGAAGACAGGCAGCUGGGCCGAUUCUGACGCUGAGGUACGAAAGCGUGGGGAGCAAACGGG
rnacentral:rRNA from 1 species